rnacentral:lncRNA from 1 species
UCAGACAAGCUGGCCACAUAAACUUCAUCAUUGUCAAGUCUUUAAAGAAUUAACAAUAUUCAAUCAAAUUCAUACUAUUCCUUUAAAUCUCGAACAUAACAAGGAAGAACCAAGCUUUGCUAUGGGAUACAAACUGAACUAGUUUAAAAUAUGACCCGACUAAAGCUUAGCAAGGAGUUGUACAGUUCUAAAUGCCUAGUCAAAUUGGUUGGACCAACAAUAAUCAGUAAAUAUCAAAAAACAAUCAGAUUUCUGGAAUGAAUGUUCUGUCUCAUUUUGUCAAUGAGAACUAAGUUGUUUGUAACUAACAUGGAUAAAAUUUUGUUAAUAAUGUAAAGUUUUAGUUUGUUUUAUGCAACAGAAUGACCAAAUUCAUGUACAAAACAAUGUAGUUUGUUUUAUGUGAGUACUAAAACAUGUUUCCGCCAAAGAGUUUUUGGAUCCUAAACCUGAGAAAUGCAUAGCUAAGUAAAAUUAUAAGUAGUGUAGCUAAUUCAUAUUGAAUGGCUCAAGAACAAGUUAACAGAAGCUGACGAAUGAGUAAUUGAAGUUGCGACUCGGAACAUGAACAAUCCCUCAUACACUGAACAGAACAAUCCCUUAUACACUGAACAUAACUUGUUAAAAUUCCACCUCUGUCUCUAAUUACAACAACAACAACAAAUUAAAAUACUAAAAUACUUGAUUACAACAAAGCAAUUUCUUUCCCCAAAGAAAAACAAAAAGAUUAGGGAUUUUAACAUACCUGAGUUGUUAAAAUUUCACUUUUAUAUUUUCUUGCCCUUUGCCGACUUCCACAGUUGUGUACAAGUUCUUGAAUAUAUGAAGUUGAAAAAGCUUUGAGUCAAUUUGUACAAACAAUGGCCUGAAUCGAAAGACCCUAGUGGUCUUCUUCUUCCCACAACACGAUUCACAAAUUCAAAUCAAAACUCAUCAAACCAGCUUCUAAUCUUAAGAUUUAGCUUCAAAAUGAAGUUUCCAGCAAGUAUCAUAAACACCCAAUCGAAUUCACAUUCUGAUUUGAGGGAUUUCGAUUUAGGUGAGAUUUUUGAGGGAUUUCAAUUUGGUAUUUCUAUUAUCUGGAUAGAUUUCUAGAGGACCGCUUUUGGGUUUCGCUUUGGGAUUUCUAGCUAUAGAGGACCGAUUUUGGGCGCUUCUUUGUUUUCACAUCGACUCGAUGUGUUCGAGAUGAGAGUUUCACUAUUUUGUCUCUAACCGAUUUU